ACGGGUGAGUAACACGUGGGAACGUACCCUUUUCUACGGAAUAACCCAGGGAAACUUGGACUAAUACCGUAUGUGCCCUUCGGGGGAAAGAUUUAUCGGAAAAGGAUCGGCCCGCGUUGGAUUAGCUAGUUGGUGGGGUAAAGGCCUACCAAGGCGACGAUCCAUAGCUGGUCUGAGAGGAUGAUCAGCCACAUUGGGACUGAGACACGGCCCAAACUCCUACGGGAGGCAGCAGUGGGGAAUAUUGGACAAUGGGCGCAAGCCUGAUCCAGCCAUGCCGCGUGAGUGAUGAAGGCCUUAGGGUUGUAAAGCUCUUUCACCGGAGAAGAUAAUGACGGUAUCCGGAGAAGAAGCCCCGGCUAACUUCGUGCCAGCAGCCGCGGUAAUACGAAGGGGGCUAGCGUUGUUCGGAUUUACUGGGCGUAAAGCGCACGUAGGCGGAUCGAUCAGUCAGGGGUGAAAUCCCAGAGCUCAACUCUGGAACUGCCUUUGAUACUGUCGAUCUGGAGUAUGGAAGAGGUGAGUGGAAUUCCGAGUGUAGAGGUGAAAUUCGUAGA
rnacentral:rRNA from 9 species